GGCAACUUGGCCGAGCGGUCUAAGGCGCCAGACUCAAGCGACGAGCUUCGUCCUUCUCAAAGGAUGUGUAUUCUGGUCUCGAAAGAGGCGUGAGUUCGAAUCUCACAGUUGUCA
rnacentral:tRNA from 1 species